CCCAAGGGGAGGCGGCAGACGGGUGAGUAACGCGUGGGAAUCUACCCAUCACUACGGAACAAACUCCGGGAAACUGGAGCUAAUACCGUAUACGUCCUUCGGAGAAAGAUUUAUCGGUGAUGGAUGAGCCCGCGUUGGAUUAGCUAGUUGGUGGGGUAAUGGCCUACCAAGGCGACGAUCCAUAGCUGGUCUGAGAGGAUGAUCAGCCACACUGGGACUGAGACACGGCCCAG
rnacentral:rRNA from 1 species